rnacentral:rRNA from 1 species
UACGAAGGGGGCUAGCGUUGCUCGGAAUCACUGGGCGUAAAGCGCACGUAGGCGGAUUGUUAAGUCAGGGGUGAAAUCCUGGAGCUCAACUCCAGAACUGCCUUUGAUACUGGCGAUCUCGAGUCCGGGAGAGGUGAGUGGAACUGCGAGUGUAGAGGUGAAAUUCGUAGAUAUUCGCAAGAACACCAGUGGCGAAGGCGGCUCUCUGGGACGUGACUGACGCUGAGACGCGAAAGCGUGGGGAGCGAACAGG